GGGACCACACAUAUUCCUGUCUCCCACUAGAGAACAGUCCACUGGAGGCUCAUGCUGAUCAUAGCUACGCCCUUCCUCAAAAUGCUGUUCCUGCUCACGAGUCCAGCGGAGACAUGGCUGACAUGGCGCCGUCGAUUUAUGGACCGUCACCUGAGGACUCUCUCUCUAGCAGUGCCGGUGUACUUUCUCACAGAGCAUCAAGCAAGGCCCGCAGCACUGACAAGAGAAAGAUGGACGCACUGAGGGCCAAGGUACGAC